GAUGAACGCUGGCGGCGUGCCUAAUACAUGCCAGUCGAGCGAACAGACGAGGAGCUUGCUCCUCUGACGUUAGCGGCGGACGGGUGAGUAACACGUGGAUAACCUACCUAUAAGACUGGGAUAACUUCGGGAAACCGGAGCUAAUACCGGAUAAUAUAUUGAACCGCAUGGUUCAAUAGUGAAAGACGGUUUUGCUGUCACUUAUAGAUGGAUCCGCGCCGCAUUAGCUAGUUGGUAAGGUAACGGCUUACCAAGGCAACGAUGCGUAGCCGACCUGAGAGGGUGAUCGGCCACACUGGAACUGAGACACGGUCCAGACUCCUACGGGAGGCAGCAGUAGGGAAUAUUCCGCAAUGGGCGAAAGCUUGACGGAGCAACGCUGCGUGAGUGAUGAAGGUCUUCGGAUCGUAAAACUCUGUUAUUAGGGAAGAACAAAUGUGUAAGUAACUAUGCACGUCUUGACGGUACCUAAUGAGAAAGCCACGGCUAACUACGUG
rnacentral:rRNA from 1 species